rnacentral:tRNA from 1 species
GGAGGGGUUCCAGAGUGGCCAAAUGGGGCAGACUGUAAAUCUGUUGUCAAUGACUUCGAUGGUUCGAAUCCAUCUCCCUCCACCA